GGGGUUCCGAAAGUACAAGUUGUUGCUGUGACUGACUCGAUGAUUGAGGGGGUCGUCUCGACGAAAGAUAGAGACAGUUGGCUAUAGUUUAGAUUAGGAAUACGUCAAUGUAAUAAUAGUGGACCAAAUGUUUCGUUCGUGCAGAAUGGCACUUUUUACCUCACGACCAUGCAUAGCUGCGCUACGUAAACAAUUUUACAAAGUUGUUGAUGUAGCGUGAUCGUGAUGUCCGACUCCGAGUACGAGUGCUGCGAGUUUCAAUACUGUUUAUGUAGUCAUUGAGAGUUUAAACAAAGUUUCUUCUGAGAAGAGAAAUUCGAUGGAUGCAUUCAACGUGGAUAACGAGAUUAUAAUUUCGUUUGUAUCAUCCUAAGGACAAGUGCAAGUUGAAAUGGAUUUCGAGUCAACAACUUCAACAGCAAUUUGCCUUGAAAAUCAGCAAGAAAGGUACUUCAUUUACAUUGAUGAUGUCAUAUCCCCUGAACCCCACAACUUUACAGGUUACAGAGAAAAUUCAAGAACUUCUGCACAAUGUGGGACUCGGAUAGAAUCAAUAAUGUAUUUGUGAGCCCAGAUAUAUUGUGCAACAUACUAAAGUGUGAAUUUAGUUGAAAACAAGUACAUGUACUCAUGUAUACUAUUAUAUGUCUUUCUUAAAGACAAUAAUAUUGCAUAAAUGUAGAUGAAGUGUCAUUGUUGAUUAUUCUAAGUUUUUGAUAUAUCAAAAUCAGUAAACAUUUCUAAAUGAAAAUAAAAUACCAAUUUUAUAACUUUUAA